CCUACGGGAGGCAGCAGUGGGGAAUAUUGGGCAAUGGGCGCAAGCCUUACCCAGCAAUACCGCGUGAGUGAAGAAGGUCUUCGGAUUGUAAAGCUCUUUGAUCAGGGACGAACAGAUGACGGUACCUGAAGAACAAGCCCCGGCUAACUACGUGCCAGCAGCCGCGGUAAUACGUAGGGGGCAAGCGUUAUCCGGAUUUACUGGGUGUAAAGGGAGCGUAGACGGAAAGGCAAGUCAGAAGUGAAAGCCCAAGGCUCAACCAUGGGACUGCUUUUGAAACUGUCAAACUAGAGUACGGGAGAGGUAAGAGGAAUUCCUAGUGUAGCGGUGAAAUGCGUAGAUAUUAGGAGGAACACCAGUGGCGAAGGCGUCUUACUGGACCGAAACUGACGUUGAGGCUCGAAAGCGUGGGGAGCAAACAGGAUUAGAUACCCUUGUAGUC
rnacentral:rRNA from 1 species